rnacentral:rRNA from 1 species
CCUACGGGAGGCAGCAGUGAGGAAUAUUGGUCAAUGGGCGCGAGCCUGAACCAGCCAAGUAGCGUGAAGGAUGACUGCCCUACGGGUUGUAAACUUCUUUUAUAAAGGAAUAAAGUGAGGCACGUGUGCCUUUUUGUAUGUACUUUAUGAAUAAGGAUCGGCUAACUCCGUGCCAGCAGCAGCGGUAAUACGGAGGAUCCGAGCGUUAUCCGGCUUUAGUGGGUUGAAAGGGAGCGUAGAUGGGUUGUUAAGUCAGUUGUUAAAGUUUGCGGCUCAACCGUAAAAUUGCAAUUGAUACUGGCAGUCUGGAGUACAGUUGAGGUAGGCGGAAUUCGUGGUGUAGCGGUGAAAUGCUUAGAUAUCACGAAGAACUUCGAUUGCGAAGGCAGCUUACUAAACUGCAACUGACAUUGAUGCUCGAAAGUGUGGGUAGCAAACAGGAUUAGAUACCCGGGUAGUC